rnacentral:rRNA from 1 species
AGAGUUUGAUCAUGGCUCAGAUUGAACGCUGGCGGCAGGCCUAACACAUGCAAGUCGAGCGGUAGCACAGAGAGCUUGCUCUCGGGUGACGAGCGGCGGACGGGUGAGUAAUGUCUGGGAAACUGCCUGAUGGAGGGGGAUAACUACUGGAAACGGUAGCUAAUACCGCAUAACGUCGCAAGACCAAAGUGGGGGACCUUCGGGCCUCAUGCCAUCAGAUGUGCCCAGAUGGGAUUAGCUAGUAGGUGGGGUAAUGGCUCACCUAGGCGACGAUCCCUAGCUGGUCUGAGAGGAUGACCAGCCACACUGGAACUGAGACACGGUCCAGACUCCUACGGGAGGCAGCAGUGGGGAAUAUUGCACAAUGGGCGCAAGCCUGAUGCAGCCAUGCCGCGUGUAUGAAGAAGGCCUUCGGGUUGUAAAGUACUUUCAGCGAGGAGGAAGGCGUUAAGGUUAAUAACCUUGGCGAUUGACGUUACUCGCAGAAGAAGCACCGGCUAACUCCGUGCCAGCAGCCGCGGUAAUACGGAGGGUGCAAGCGUUAAUCGGAAUUACUGGGCGUAAAGCGCACGCAGGCGGUCUGUCAAGUCGGAUGUGAAAUCCCCGGGCUCAACCUGGGAACUGCAUUCGAAACUGGCAGGCUAGAGUCUUGUAGAGGGGGGUAGAAUUCCAGGUGUAGCGGUGAAAUGCGUAGAGAUCUGGAGGAAUACCGGUGGCGAAGGCGGCCCCCUGGACAAAGACUGACGCUCAGGUGCGAAAGCGUGGGGAGCAAACAGGAUUAGAUACCCUGGUAGUCCACGCCGUAAACGAUGUCGACUUGGAGGUUGUGCCCUUGAGGCGUGGCUUCCGGAGCUAACGCGUUAAGUCGACCGCCUGGGGAGUACGGCCGCAAGGUUAAAACUCAAAUGAAUUGACGGGGGCCCGCACAAGCGGUGGAGCAUGUGGUUUAAUUCGAUGCAACGCGAAGAACCUUACCUACUCUUGACAUCCAGAGAACUUAGCAGAGAUGCUUUGGUGCCUUCGGGAACUCUGAGACAGGUGCUGCAUGGCUGUCGUCAGCUCGUGUUGUGAAAUGUUGGGUUAAGUCCCGCAACGAGCGCAACCCUUAUCCUUUGUUGCCAGCGGUCCGGCCGGGAACUCAAAGGAGACUGCCAGUGAUAAACUGGAGGAAGGUGGGGAUGACGUCAAGUCAUCAUGGCCCUUACGAGUAGGGCUACACACGUGCUACAAUGGCAUAUACAAAGAGAAGCGACCUCGCGAGAGCAAGCGGACCUCAUAAAGUAUGUCGUAGUCCGGAUUGGAGUCUGCAACUCGACUCCAUGAAGUCGGAAUCGCUAGUAAUCGUAGAUCAGAAUGCUACGGUGAAUACGUUCCCGGGCCUUGUACACACCGCCCGUCACACCAUGGGAGUGGGUUGCAAAAGAAGUAGGUAGCUUAACCUUAGGGAGGGCGCUUACCACUUUGUGAUUCAUGACUGGGGUGAAGUCGUAACAAGGUAACCGUAGGGGAACCUGCGGUUGGAUCACCU